rnacentral:rRNA from 1 species
UACGUAGGGUGCAAGCGUUGUCCGGAAUUAUUGGGCGUAAAGAGCUCGUAGGCGGUCUGUUGCGUCGGCUGUGAAAACCCGGGGCUCAACUCCGGGACUGCAGCCGAUACGGGCAGACUAGAGUUCGGCAGGGGAGACUGGAAUUCCUGGUGUAGCGGUGAAAUGCGCAGAUAUCAGGAGGAACACCGGUGGCGAAGGCGGGUCUCUGGGCCGAUACUGACGCUGAGGAGCGAAAGCGUGGGGAGCGAACAGG